UGGGGAAUAUUGCACAAUGGGCGAAAGCCUGAUGCAGCAACGCCGCGUGAGGGAAGACGGUUUUCGGAUUGUAAACCUCUGUUUUCGGUGACGAACAAAUGACGGUAACCGAGUAGGAAGCCACGGCUAACUACGUGCCAGCAGCCGCGGUAAUACGUAGGUGGCAAGCGUUAUCCGGAAUUACUGGGUGUAAAGGGAGCGCAGGCGGGAUAGCAAGUCAGCUGUGAAAACUAUGGGCUCAACCCAUAAACUGCAGUUGAAACUGUUAUUCUUGAGUGGAGUAGAGGCAAGCGGAAUUCCGAGUGUAGCGGUGAAAUGCGUAGAUAUUCGGAGGAACACCAGUGGCGAAGGCGGCUUGCUGGGCUCUAACUGACGCUGAGGCUCGAAAGUGUGGGGAGCAAACAGG
rnacentral:rRNA from 2 species